UAAAAUUACUGCAGAAUCAGUUCUCGAGGUGGUAAGGAUAUCAUGUAAGCUAAAGGAUAAGGAUAGAGGUCAUACAAUGAAGGUAUGACUGUAAUUUUCUGAGUUCCUUUCUAAAUUCAUAUUGUUCAAAAUAAUAGUAUAAUCUAAUAUUAUAACAGUAUUAAGAGUAAUGAAUUAGCGAAGAUAAAUCAUAAAAGGCCAAUGGAUAAAGAAAGUGCAGAAUGAAAGUUUGGACAA
rnacentral:misc_RNA from 1 species